AGCCAUGCAAGAGAGGAUGUCUUGGCAGCCUGUCAAACAACUUUGAAAAAUUUGCAAAUUAAAUAUUUGGAUUUAUAUUUGGUAAUUCAUUUGACUAUUUGUCAGUUCUAAACUGUUCUUCCUAGAGGUCCAGUAAGGAUCAUCUCUUAUUGAUUCAGUGUUACUACAGGAGGAAACCUACACUAAACUAACUUUAUUUGUGAUGGAUAGCUCUAUCAGUUCUAAACUGUUCUUCCUAGAGGUCCAGUAAGGAUCAUCUCUUAAUGAUCCAGUGUUACUACAGGAGGAAACCUAAACUAAACUAACUUUAUUUGUGCUGGAUAGCUCUAUCAGUUCUAAACUGUUCUUCCUAGAGAUCCAGUAAGGAUCAUCUCUUAAUGAUCCAGUGUUACUACAGGAGGAAACCUAAACUAACUUUAUUUAUACUGGAUAGCUCUAUCAGUUCUAAACUGUUCUUCCUAGAGGUCCAGUAACGAUCAUCUCUUUAAUAUUAAGGGCCAAAAUCCUGAAAAACAUUGUAUAUCUAUCACCAUACAAGAUGCAAUCAAAGAAUGUUUCUAAACAAUUAUGUAUAUCUUUCUUAGAUACAUAAUCCAUAUGCAUUUGCAAAGGGUAUGUUUUUCCCAGCGAAACCAGAACAGCGUAAAGAUAUUCUUGGCUAUGAUAAGAAGAGAAUGAGCGAAACGUGGAAGGUAGCGUUAAAAUUGAAUAUUGUGGCAUUCUGCAGUUGAAAAGUAGUUAAAGUUAACUAUGCUAAAAGUUGCUAAUUGUAAGGAAUGAGCAACAUUUUUCAGUUUAAAAACAACAAUGAAAAACAAUGCUUACCUUGGAUUUUCCAACGCUAUAUCUUCCCUAUAAACUCUUCAAAUGCUAUAAACGCUUUCGUUUUUUGGCAAAAAGAGAAUAUUUUUUUGCAUGGGCAGGUUUCUCGAAGACAAAGUGGGGCUCAUUACACUAAGAAACACUGAUACAUAAUUGCCAAACAGCUACACUUUGGUUUGGCGUAGACAUCUCACGGAAAACUGCCUUGGCUUCUCUGACUUUCGCGGCGGUUUUGCGGACUUUCGCCGUGUUUUCUUGUUUAUUUUUCAGCUGGGCCGGUUGUACGAAAGAUGGAUAAAUUGCUAUCCGGUGGACGAGUCGCUAUCCAACGGAUAAAUUUUAUUCGGAGUGAAAAUCGCGUUGUACGGGAUAGCGCUAUCCAACGGAUAAAAAUGCACUACCGUUGGAUACAUUUAUCCGAGGUUUGGUAGUUUAAAUCCGCUAUAGGGCGGAUAAACUCGAAGUUUGAAGACAAAACAAUGUGUAUUUAAGAUAAAAGGGAUUACCAUUGUGAUAAAAAAGGACAAAUACCGUUUAGAAGUCCCUUUCUUGACACUAUUAAAAAUAUUAAACAUGGAAACUUACUUUAUAUGACUAGUCUCUUGCUCUUGACGUUCACCGAGCUCAUUUUGACUCACUUGCCCAUUAAAUAAUGCCAUGGCUUUGCCAUAUUUUACGCAGACCAGUGUCAGUGUUUAGACGUUAAGUUUUCUGGCUUUUUUCUUUGUUAUAUAGCCCAAAAACAAGCAAUAAAACUUUCAUCAAAUGAGUUCCCUUCCACGCCAAACAAAUAUAGCUACAUAUGAACAGACAACAAGGCGCCGAAAGUCGAAAAAUAUUGUUCGCUCGCCUUGAUUGGCCUUGAUUAGCCAAUCAAAUCUUGCGAGAAAAUGUUCUAAAAUUCUUAAAAUUUUUCAAAACGUUUAGGAACGAACUUUCUAUGACUUUCUAUAGUAUAUUUUGUGUUCAAUUUAUAGACCACAGUAUAAAGACUUUUUUUAAAUGUGUUUAUUACAUGUUUAAUAUCAUGUUAUUAUAGAUGGACUAAAUCUCCGAAACGUCGUUGGUUAAUGUAAUAAACACAUUUUAAAAAAGUCUUACUGUAGCCUAUAUAUAGAACACAAAAUGUUCUUAAAAUUGUUUUGAAUGAAGUGAAAGGUCGAAGAACAAACAUUCGGACAGCUAUAGUGAUAUAAAAUAAAACUGAAUCAACGUACUGAAACAAGAAACCAAAACUCGGAGUCUUUGCAAACUAUUGCCUUCGCAAAAAGAAGCCAAAAAUGUUUUAAACGAAUAUUGAUAUUAGGUACUGAUAGCAAAUUCUUCAACGAUUGGACGGAAAAAAACUCUCAAGGUUUAAAUAGAUAGUUCUAUAAGUCUUCAAAGGUUGGUGGAAUUCACAAGUCGAAGAUCAGGGGCGGAUCUAGGGGUGAUCAGAGCGAUCACGCGACUAAGGUAAAAAUUGGCCAGAAAAAUGGAAAAUUGUUAAAUUAAAAUAGCAGUCCAGUUAUCAAACUUCGCGCAGUGUAAUGUAUUGAAAGUUUAACAGUCCAGUAGCGAUCAGGGGCUCGAAUACAGGCUAUCCGAUUGGCUAAUUCAAAACAAUCCUGAAUUCCCAUUGGCUUGAUUUUUUUGAUCGAUCAUACCGUUCAGGCUUCAUUAGUGCACGGAAAGGUCUACGACGUUUCGGGCCCCUUCUGAUCGCUACUUUGUGCUUGACCGCAAAUUAUUAAAGUUCAAUGGGAAGAUUUACUAUCAGAAAUUCUGAACUAAUACCAGCCAUGUCUGUUAGUAUUUACGAAACUGUAAAGGCUGCUUUAGAGCAUGACGAUUGACAAAAUGUCAAAGAUAUUGAAGCUGAUUUAAACAAGCGAGUAAUGGUCUACCGAAGCUUUUUAUUAAAGAUUUAUUGAGCGUUGUAUUGUGAAUAUUAACAUAAGCAGCCUUCCUCGCACGAAAUUUUGGUGCGGAAUCUUACAUCCUGAAGUACGUUCGAGAGAAGACAAAAAUCUUUUGUACGGCCUUAACUUAAGAGAUAUAUAUUCUAUUUUAACUAGAUAUAGCAUUAUAACUGUAAACUGUUGUAUACGACGGUGGAUUGUGCGUCUGUACGCACAUGCAUGCUAUAAUAUCGGCGGGUACGCGUAUAAGACGUAUAAUAAUACGAGACGAAAUUUACAUAAUAUUUCCGUCAAUUUAUAUAAAUAUUGCGGCUUAAUACAGGCAGUUUCAGUGUGUUUAUACUUUGUUUAUGCUUCUUGUGGCAUGUAGACUUUAUAUAUUAAUCAGAUCGCUACUUGAUAACACUCUUUAAUCUUUAUACCUAUUUAAUAUUUUAAACUACAAUGGCACGACAAUGUAGCAUGGCCUUGUGUAAUACGAUCUCUACAACAUGUACACAACAAGUAAAAUGGAUCAUGUUGCCAUUGUGAAUACUUAUUUAUGGCGCAUGUUUCUGCUACGGAAUGAAACUCGAGGAGCAGUGAAUUAAACGUGGAAAUUCUCUUCCUGCUUAACAAACAAUCAAAUGUUUUAAACUGCAUCACUAUAUUGCAUUUUUUUGACCAUCCUGUUCCAUGUCAAAGGAAAAAAUAUGCGAUUAAAUAACAAUUUUUAAAACGUCAAGUCAUCCUUGUCAAUCUAUUUCUCGAUGAGAAUUGGAUAUCUGUUUGACAUUCGGCGAAAAAGCAAUUUUUUAAGUUACAUUUUUUCGUAAACAGAACACAUAUAAAAAAUAUUAACUUGCUUGGCAACCCCCCCCUCCCCUCUGACCCCCCGAAAAGUACCCCCUCCCCCAAUGUUCAGCAACGAAAUUUUUGACUAACGUACGAAAAAUCCUAGAUCCGCCCCUGUCGAAGAUAUUACAACAAAAGUUUAUAUUAAAUGCUUAGCAAUUAACAGCUGGCGUACAUACGUAAAAUUCUUAACCCUGGUUCACAUAAAAUCGUUAAGCAGUCGCAGACAGUCGCAGACAUGUGCCGAAUUUUUAUAUGAACACAAAUGCAGAUUCGCACAGACUGUCUGAGACCGGAUCGGCGACGGAUCGGCACAUGUCUGCGACAGUCUGCGACUGUCUGCGACUGCUUAACGAUUUUAUGUGAACCAGGCUUUACAUCUUGUAACAAGUCUGCCAGCAAGCCUUCAACAAGAUGUAUUCGCACUGAUUGUCACAAGUUGUCAACAGGUUUAGAACAACUUGUCGACAACCUGUAACAACCUUAUCGAAAUUAUCAGACUUGUUGCAAGGUUGUUCUGACAAGUCCUUUACAUGCUUAGUAUAACAAGAUUGUUAGAACCUUGUGUUGAUAACCUUGUAACAUCCUUGUUAUGUCAUGGCUGUAACAAACUUAUUAGCACAGUCUUGUAACAAGUCUGAUAAUGCCAUCAAGCUUGUUACAAGUUGUUAAGAACUUGUUUCAAACUUGUCACAACAAACUGGGAACAAGCAGUGCGAACACAACUUGUUGACAGACUUGUAACAACUUGUUUGCAGACUUGUAACAACUUGUGCGUUUUUACGCGUGUAGAGAUAAAAAAUUUCAGGAAUAUCCGGUUUUCUCCGGAUAAAUUUAAGGUUAACCGAUGGAUAGCUAUCCACCCUGCUGUUCGUGCUUCGUACAACGCAUUCUUAUCCAACGAAUAACUAGUUAUCCAUUGGAUAGAAGAUAUAUCCGCUGGAUAGGACCUAUCCACCGGAGAACUUAUCCGCCUUUCGUACAACCGGAGGACCGGCCAGGGUCUUAGCUAGAGGGCCGUUUUGGCCGUGUUAUCGCGGCCAAAAAUGGAAAAAACACGGCUAGAUAAAAUGAACGCGGUUUCAUUAUUUAUAUAAGGCCGUGUAGGUUCAUAAAAUAAGGUGGUGCUACACAAUACUUACAACAGACAGAAUUUCUUCCAAUUUAUGUCGUAAGAAAGUUUGUAAAAUCUACUGUUGUUGUUGAAAUUGGUAAAAGCGAUCCGUGAUGUAUUAAUGUUUUGAUAGAUAAUGGGAACUGUAUGGUGUUAAAAUGGUUUUAAAUACCCCCAAGGGUUGCUGAAACAACCUAAUAUUUUAAUGUCAGUGCGCAAUGAGCGUAUGCUCGCUUUGUAUUUGGUUGCAAAGCGUAGAACAUAACCACAGGCAUUGUCUGUUGUUGGCGAGCAUAAAGCUACGUUUACACGCUGCGAUUUGUCGGGCCGAUUUUGGUAAAUAAUCGAUGCCCUUUCUUCGACAUUUAGCGAUUUAAACGUUCAACUGAAGCUGUCUGCUCUCUCGUCUGUUCAUAUUAUAGUUUUCUGCGUGCGAAAAGUUUUCAACAACUUUACAACGGAAGAAAAAUCGUUGAAUCGUGAGAAAAAUCUGUGGUUUUGUUACAGAUUAUUCUCCCGAUUUUGUGAAUCGCAAGGUGCUGACGCGAGUACUGAUGACAGGUUAUUUACAUACAGCGAGCAAAAUCGGCCCGACAAAUCGCAGCGUGUAAACGUACCUUAACUAGAACCGUGAAUUUGAAAAACAAACUACUCCUGGUUAGGUCUGAAAUUGUACGUAAUCUUUCACUCGGAAUUCCAGUCAACAAAACCCCUUCAACUUGUUUUUUCAGGGAAUGGAAGAAUUGGUUCGUAAAGGGCUUUGUAAGGCAAUCGGAGUUUCCAAUUUUUCCUCAACCAAAGUGAAAGCACUUUUGGAAACAGCCGAGAUUGUUCCUGCCACUAAUCAAGGUGCUGACUUGAUCCUAUUUUAAUAUUAUCGCGGUGUUGGUUUUGUAGUAUAAUACUGGAUCAAUAAAAGAUGACCCUUACUGGACCUCUAUAGGAAGAACAGUUUAGAACUGAUAGAGCUAUCCAGUAUGAAUAAAGUUAGUUUAGUUCAGGUUUCCUCCUGUAGUAACACUGGAUCAAUAAAAGAUGACCCUUACUGGACCUCUAUAGGAAGAACAGUUUAGAACUGAUAGAGCUAUCCAGUAUGAAUAAAGUUAGUUUAGUUCAGGUUUCCUCCUGUAGUAACACUGGAUCAAUAAAAGAUGACCCUUACUGGACCUCUAUAGGAAGAACAGUUUAGAACUGAUAGAGCUAUCCAGUAUGAAUAAAGUUAGUUUAGUUCAGGUUUCCUCCUGUAGUAACACUGGAUCAAUAAAAGAUGACCCUUACUGGACCUCUAUAGGAAGAACAGUUUAGAACUGAUAGAGCUAUCCAGUAUGAAUAAAGUUAGUUUAGUUCAGGUUUCCUCCUGUAGUAACACUGGAUCAAUAAAAGAUGACCCUUACUGGACCUCUAUAGGAAGAACAGUUUAGAACUGAUAGAGCUAUCCAGUAUGAAUAAAGUUAGUUUAGUUCAGGUUUCCUCCUGUAGUAACACUGGAUCAAUAAAAGAUGACCCUUACUGGACCUCUAUAGGAAGAACAGUUUAGAACUGAUAGAGCUAUCCAGUAUGAAUAAAGUUAGUUUAGUUCAGGUUUCCUCCUGUAGUAACACUGGAUCAAUAAAAGAUGACCCUUACUGGACCUCUAUAGGAAGAACAGUUUAGAACUGAUAGAGUUAUCCAGCAUAAAUAAAGUUAGUUUAGUUCAGGUUUCCUCGUGUAGUAACACUGGAUCAAUAUAAGAGAUGAUUCUUACUGGACCUCUAGGAAGAAUAGUUUAGAACUGAUAGAGCUAUCCAGUAUAAAUAAAGUCAGUUUAGUUUAGUUUAGGUUUCCUCCUGUAGUAAACUGGAUCAAUAAGAGAUUAUCCUUACUGCAUGGACCUCUAGGAAGAACAAUUUAGAACUGAUAGAGCUAAUUUAGUUUAGGUUUCCUCCUGUCGCAACAGGACAGCAGAAAACAGAUUAGUAUGGACGAAACCUUAUACUUUUGAUUGCUCAUAUAAAUUAGCGCAAUUUUAACUUCUUUGUUUGUGUUUUUCGUCAGUUGAACUACACCCAUUCUUGCCCCAGCCUGGAUUAAAGAAAUUCUGCGACGAAAAUGGUUUGUUAAUUAACGAUGUUUACAUAAUCUUGAGUGUUUGAUAAGCUUUGCCUCAGGUUAUAUUGCAGUUGAUCAAUAUCAUGGAAGGAUUAUAUAGAAUAUGUAUUUCAAAAACUCAUUAAUAAUUCACGAAGAAAACACAAAGAAAAGUCAUAAGCGCGUGUCGUAUCUUUAUAUGUGAUAACGACUCGAUUUACACAACGUAUUUUUUUGAAAAUUACUUCGCCAAUGACUUACUAGAUCGAUCGUUUUUGAAACAAUUUAAGACAUUCGCAGUGCGUGCUUUUUAUCAGACCUAAAGAUACUCGGCUUUUUCUCGUAUCUUUAUAUCUGAUAAGACACUGCUGCUCAUGUUUUAAAUAGUACAUCAAAGUAUUGAACUGUUCAUUCAUCAUUCGGAAUAUGCAAAAAGUUGUUCAAAGAGCAAUUAGUUUCCGCUCGGUUGUAUCGCUUUAAACAUAGACAAUCCAUGUCUUCUGGAUUGUCUAUGCUUUAAAUUACAAAAUACUGUACAGUGUGUAUAAAAAACCUGAAUCCUUUCAAAUUAGCUGUAACGUAUUGUAGAAAGUUGACAGCUCUAAUUGCUUUGAAUUAAUGGUUGGGUAAGAACACAAGGCCUUGUACUCAUGGGACAAAACUCAAAGAAAUAAAAAUUAGAAAAUAUAACAGAGAUACAGUAUUUAUUUUGUCCCAUGAGUACAAGGCUUUGUAUUCUUACCCCACCAUUAAUUCAAAGCAAUUAGAGCUGUCACAUUACUGCAAUACGUUAUAGCUAAUUUGAAUUUGGAGUGAUGACGCUAAAGUUUAUUCAUAUAGGCAUUAUCAUCACAGCGUUUUCUUCCCUGGGUUCCUCUGACCGGCCCGGAUAUGGCGAAGCUGACCCUCUUCUCAUGGAUGAACCGCUGAUCAAAGAAAUUGCUGCAAAACGUAAUUGUAGCCCGGCGCAGGUUUGUUUACUGAAUCUCAAACGUAGAGGUUGGGUCCGAUGUAGGUGGUACUCUGGAAUGAUAUAAACUGCCGUGGUUUGUGUCUGAACCACCUUGAAGUUCAUGUUAUUCCUUACUGAUCCAGUGUUACUACAGAAGGAAAUUUUAUUUUUACUGAAUAGUUCUAUCAGUUCUAAACUGUUCUUCCUAGAGAUCCAAUAAGGAUCAUCUCUUAUUGAUCCAGUGUUACUACAGGAGAAAACUUAAACUAAUUUUAAUUUUUACUGGAUAGUUCUAUCAGUUCUAAACUGUUUUCCCUAGAGGUCCAGUAAGGAUCAUCUCUUAUUGAUCCAGUGUUACUACAAAAGGAAACCUAAACUAAACUAACUUUAUUUAUGCUGGAUAGCUCUAUCAGUUCUAAACUGUUCUUCCUAGAGGUCCAGUAAGGAUCAUCUCUUAUUGAUCCAGUGUUACUACAGGAGGGAUAAUCAGUUCUAAACUGUUAGAGGUCCAGUAAGGAUCAUCUCUUAUUGAUCCAGUUCUGGAUAGCUCUAUCAGUUCUAAACUGUUCUUCCUAGAGGUCCAGUAAGGAUCAUCUCUUAUUGAUCCAGUGUUACUACAAGAGGAAACCUAAACUAAACUAACUUUAUUUAUGCUGGAUAGCUCUAUCAGUUCUAAACUGUUCUUCCUAGAGGUCCAGUAAGGAUCAUCUCUUAUUGAUCCAGUGUUACUACAGGAAGAAACCUAAACUUUAUCGUUAUGUUGAAUAGCUCUAUCAGUUCUAAACUGUUCUUCCUAGAUCGAGGUCUAUAGUAAGGAUCGUCUCAUAUUGAUCCAGUGUUACUACAGGAGGAAACCUAAACUAAACUAUUUUUAUUUAUACUGGAUAGCUCUAUCAGUUCUAAACUGUUCUUCCUAGAGGUCUAUAGUAAGGAUCGUCUCAUAUUGAUCCAGUGUUACUACAGGAGGAAACCUAAACUAAACUAUUUUUAUUUAUACUGGAUAGCUCUAUCAGUUCUAAACUGUUCUUCCUAGAGGUUCAGUAACGAUCAUCUCUUAUUGAUCCAGUGUUACUACAGGAGGAAACCUAAACUAAACUAACUUUAUUGAUAUUGGAUAGCUCUAUCAGUUCUAAACUGUCCUCCCUAGAGGUCCAGUAAGGAUCAUCUCUUAUUGAUCCAGUGUUACUACAGGAAGAAACCUAAACUUUAUUUAUGUUGAAUAGCUCUAUCAGUUCUAAACUGUUCUCUUUUUCAUAGCGCGCACUUAUCAAUUGUUUAGGUGUUGCUAGCGUGGGGAGUGAAUUACGGUUGUCCUGUUCUACCCAAGUCGGUCAACGAAGGGCGUAUUAAACAAAACCUAGAAACAUACAACGUGAAAUUGGAACAAGAAGACAUGACUGCCUUGGCGAAUAUUGGCAAAAAAUUUAGAUAUUUAAUGAUGAGUGUAUUUUACCUGGAAGGAGACACCCCAGAAAGCUACUGGGAUGGGGAGCAAUGAGGACAAGUUAGGAAACUCGGAACUAGAAUGAAAACGAUAUGAUUUGAGAUGAUUGACAAAUUAUAGAUAGAUAUAAACUUAAUUUAACUGAGAACAGGGCGACACUUAAUUGUGCGAAGUACUAAAGGGCCAUUGAUGCUACAUAACUUUUACCUAAAACUGUCGCAUGCAACUUUCUUACAACUUGAGUUGUACUGUGUAAAUCAAGCACGCAACUUGCCCCCGUUGUCGUACGCGAGUUGUAAGCUUGAUUUACACAGUACAACUCAAGUUGUAAGCAGAUUGCAAGGGGCAGUUUUAGGCACAAGUGGGUGAUGUGAAUCAGCCAUAUUAACAAACGUGUGGCCUUCAAAAGCUUACAUAAAAGUAAUAUAUCUUCAUGAACGUUGUUACAAGAUGAUAACAACUGGUUCCAGAAGUGUCAUGUAGAACUGGGAACAAGCAGUGCGAACACAUCUUGUUGACAAGCUGUAAGAUUUUUACUGAUGUCAGUGAGCUAAACAUCUACUCUCUCGGAAACCUUUUAAUGUAAGCGUAUUAAAUAUGCAUAAAAAAUCGUUACACUGCCCCCAAUUCGAAACAAAUGUUCAUUUCGAGAAGCGACAAGCAAACAGCAUGUGUCAUAUGAUCUCAGAAAUAAUAUAAAUCUGUCCUUUUUAAUGCCUGAAAGAGAAUUUCUCAAGAAAAGCGUUCAUAUACAGCGUAGAGUGUUCAAAUACAGCGUACAGUGCUGAUUUUUUAUCUCGAGAGAAAGCGAUCAAUAUAAAUAUGG